rnacentral:rRNA from 1 species
UACGUAGGGGGCAAGCGUUGUCCGGAAUCAUUGGGCGUAAAGCGCGUGUAGGCGGUUCGGUAAGUCCGCUGUGAAAGUCGGGGGCUCAACCCUCGAAUGCCGGUGGAUACUGUCGAACUAGAGUGCGGAAGAGGCGAGUGGAAUUCCUGGUGUAGCGGUGAAAUGCGCAGAUAUCAGGAGGAACACCAAUUGCGAAGGCAGCUCGCUGGGACGUAACUGACGCUGAGACGCGAAAGCGUGGGGAGCAAACAGG